rnacentral:rRNA from 1 species
AUUGAACGCUGGCGGCAUGCUUUACACAUGCAAGUCGAACGGUAACAGGGAGCUUGCUCCGCUGACGAGUGGCGAACGGGUGAGUAAUGCAUCGGAACGUACCCAGUCGUGGGGGAUAACGUAGCGAAAGUUACGCUAAUACCGCAUACGUCCUGAGGGAGAAAGCGGGGGACCGUAAGGCCUCGCGCGAUUGGAGCGGCCGAUGUCGGAUUAGCUAGUUGGUAGGGUAAAGGCCUACCAAGGCGACGAUCCGUAGCUGGUCUGAGAGGACGAUCAGCCACACUGGGACUGAGACACGGCCCAGACUCCUACGGGAGGCAGCAGUGGGGAAUAUUGGACAAUGGGGGAAACCCUGAUCCAGCGACGCCGCGUGGGUGAAGAAGGCCUGCGGGUUGUAAAGCCCUUUCGGUAGGGACGAAAGCUCUCGACCUAACACGUCGGGAGGAUGACUUAACCUACAAAGAAGCACCGGCUAACUCUGUG